UGUGGGAGGGGGCUUGCUCCCGAUAGCGGCAGUUCAGUCAGCACAUCGGGUACUGACACACCGCUAUCGGGAGCAAGCCCCCUCCCACA
rnacentral:misc_RNA from 1 species